rfam:Gossypium hirsutum cultivar TM-1 chromosome 9, whole genome shotgun sequence
AUUCCAUGAUGAGGACAUUUUCGUAACAAUUUUUUAAAUCUUUCCCACACCUCAUACAAUAACUCGUCAUCCAUCUGUUGGAAGGUUGUGAUCUCGUUUCACAAUUU